rnacentral:lncRNA from 1 species
CAAAUACCGGAAGUAAGCCGCAAAGCAGGCAAAAGUGCUUGGUUAUGAUUCUUAGUUGUGGCUCAUCCUGAAAGAUGCUCAGUCCAGAUAAAUUAAAAGAAGUCAUCCAGGUAUGGUGGAGGGUGAUACUGGUGCUCAGAGAUGGUCACAUAUCUGCAGUGCCACACAACAGCUGUAUGCGUGGAUCUUAGUGUAGAUGGCAGUUAGAUGCAAGACGGACAGUGAUGGCCAACGCACUCUCGCAUCUACAUUGCUGACAGAGAACGUGGUCAUCUCUCAGCAGCAGACAUUAUUUAAUUGUGAGAUGUAGGAAUAUUCCUUCAUGCUUCCAUUAGAGGCAAAGCAAGAACCACCACUAGAUGGAGCUGCUGUCUCCAGUUCCAGCCAGACCUUUUACUGUGGGUGUUGAGACAGGCAGACGACAUGCCCCAAGACAUGUGACAGCAAUUGCCCUGUACAUUAAAAACAAAGCUGCGUGGAGGAAGUGCUUGUCCAAACAUGACGUAGGAUGAAAUCAAGAAAGCACUCGUCCAAUGUUUAACUUGAUAGAUGUCGGAAGGCUGCUGGCAUUAUGGUCAGUGACGUUCUUUUCAUGU